ACACUAUAACCCUAACAACACACAACAUUCCAGGAAUGUACUACCAAAGUUCUAUCAAUAUUUGAAUGUCCUGGACAUUUAGGGAACAUUCGGUGAACAUCUGUUUAAAUUAUUCCUGGAAUGUUACCAUAAGACAUUCUGUGAACAUACUACCAAUGUUCCUAUAUUUUAAGUUGCGAAAUAAUACAUACGUGUAAGAGAUACAACAUUACUUAUAACAUACCAGACAAACUAAGUGACAUUUUAGGCCUACAGUGCAAUAAUAUGUCAAAUUUAAAGAGUUUCCCAAGAUUAUAAACAUACAAAUGUAAUAAAAAUUAUUGUUCGCGAAUAUUCAAUUUGGAAUGCGAUUUUGUUAAUAAAAAAAAUACUUAUAACUUAUGCAAAACCCAAGAGAGGCAUUUAUAUUUAUUUCUUUUGCGUUCAUUUUCAAAUUCGCCGUGCAUAUAUUUUUGUGCAUGGCGCUUGAGAGGGCAUCACGUGACUAAAAACGACCAACCAACGACCUCGCUUCGGCCAUCUUGGCAUCUUCAUCUUGGCGACCUUGCCUUGCCGUGGAUUGUUUUUAGUUGUUUGUAUUAUUUGUGCUUUUUAAGAAUAUUUUUUUAAUUCGGAUACUUUUAUAAUAGCUUUAAUAGUAUUAUUAACAUAGUGCAUAAAAUGGUGUCCUGUUUUUAACGCAGUUGGAGUAGCAGAAACAAAUGUAGAUAAAAAAAUCUGCAGGAAUAACGUUUCAAUUAUGACAGAAGCUCAAAACAAAUGACUGUGAAUGAAAAGCCCUAUUAAAAGCUUUCCAGAAGAUCCUGCGAAGAAGACAUGAAGUAUAGAUCAGAUUUGUUAAUAGAGGAGUAUGUUCAAAACACUUUUUAGAAAAAGAUAUUGACAGAACUUCACUUUCAUCUGUUCGUUUGAGAGACUGUGCUGUUCCAAUAGCUUAUGUCACACAGAAUCAGCUGAGAGAAGUGGUCUACAAAAAACCAGAAAGGAAACGGAAUAUGUGGCUACGAAAAGCAAAAGAAAGGUUUACAAAGCAAAUGUGACACAUUUUUUUAUAAUAUUUAGGAAUGUCAGCAAAUUACAUUAAAAAAUGUAUGUAAAGAUUUUUUGCAAUAAAAAUGUUUAUAUUU